UAUCUGAGUGUUGAUUCUAGUGGGGUUAAAAUCAGUGGGAUUAAAAUUGAUGCCACCUGCGGUGAAUAAAUUGUAAGUGUUAAUCAGAGGGUGUUGUUGUUACUCGACCUUGUUGAGUUAAUUUCCGUUACAGGGAUAUUUCACCGCUGCUCUAUUUCACUAUACAUGUCCAUUAAUAUGUUAUUAACAUCUCAUAUGUGUCAUAAAAAUUUAGAAUUUCCUCACUACAUGCAAAUAGGAGAAUUCUGCAUCUAACCAGUAGAAACGGGCCAGCUACAUUUCCUGGUUGUAAACAAACCACAAUAUCCUGAAUUCAUAGCGAUUUCAGGAUGUGGAGGUGUAUUCAAUUGAUGUUAGAAAUAUCAAAAUGUCUGUAGCUAGAUUUCGAAACGGAACUGAAAUCUCAACUGAUGGGGUUGCCAUGUCAUCGAAAGUUGAAAAGUGAUGCUAUUCCAUCGAUUUUCCCCUUCACUUCAAAAAGGAAGGCAUCCGAUCUGCCAACAUCAGCGCAGCAGAAAAUCGGUCAAGCUGGGAGUCUGAUCCCAUCAACAUCUUCAGUGGCAUUGACAUCAAGCUCAGCACCAGGUACUAGUACUAAUCCUGCUGCUGAUGACACCAGUUUUACUAGUACAGAGCCUGUAGGGUGACCAGACGUCCCCGUUUUCCGGGGACAGUCCACGGCUGGAGCUGUCCCCGGAAAUGUCCCCGUUUUUAACUGUGCGUUAAAAACAGACUGCAAAGUGAAAUAAUAUUUUACGUGGCAAGAAACACCGGGCAUCAGAGUCUACCGGUUGACGUCUCAAUCUUGUUGUGCUUGUUUUGUCCAGCAGAGGGGGCCGCUCGCUAUAUCAGCUUCAUUCACUCUUCUACUUCUUCUAACUACUUGCUCGCGCUAGUUUUAGAGAAAACUGCUGUGGAAAACUCGGCCAGAAGCUAGCAAGUGUCAAGUUAAUCCAUAACAUCACCACAAACGUAUUUUCAAGCCAGGACCAACACUCUUUCAUUGUGGAGUAUCAUUGUGGAGUAUUCCUGUGGCACCUGGAGGUAUGGCAGACAUCUUUGACCAGCUGGAGUCCAACAAGGCCACUUUUCAGAUCAAGCACUUCUCUGUCAGCCAGACUACCCUGGAUGAGUUGAGCGAGAGAGACAGGGAGAUGGAGAAAGUGAGAUAUGGGGUGUGAGAAAAGAGAGACAGACAGAGAUGGUGGGGGGAGUCUGGCAGAGACUUAAAAGACCAUUAUGUCUUCACACUUCAAAAAUCAAGCUGCAAAAAUAUGUUUUGAAUCCUAUUCAGUGAUUGACAGAGGGUAUGAACCUAUUACUGAUGCUGCAUCCCAAAAUGGCACCCUAUUCCCUUUAUAGGUCAAAAGUAGUGCACUAGGGAAUAGGGUGCCAUUUGGGGCAUAACCCUACAGUAUCUAAAGCAGUCUGAAUAACAGGUCUUUAUGAACUUUGCCAUGGGAAAGGUUGGCAUGGAGACAAUCCCAAUCCACAGCGAAGAAGGUUCCGAAGCACACAGCAUAAGCCUCGAAUCCAUUGAGGCUUCAGAUACAUAGCUUUGGCGGCUAUCUUGUUCACAAUACAAUGUGUCUGUCUGUCUGAGGACACCCACUGUGAAGGAAGAAGAGCAACAUUCAAUCUAGGCUGGAAAUGAAUAAAUGGAUCUGCAUGUACGUUUAAUAAUAAUGCAAACAUUAAAUGAAUUAUUCUUGUAAUUAAUUUACUUUAUUUUAAUUGUAUAAUUUUGCUUUGGUACUGUUAUCAGUUUAUCAAAUCACUGUAUCACAUAUACCUUAUAAAGGAUAACUUAUGAAGUCACUUUGUGGCCACUUUGGACUGUUAAAUUGAACCGGGUUGCUCUAUUGAUGUUUCAUCAUGUAAUGAGAAUCAUAGAGAUGUUAACAUGCUUCUAUCAUGUUUCUUCACUAAUUGUCACGCCCUGACCUUAGAGAUCUUUUUUAUGUCUCUAUUUUGGUUUGGUCAGGGCGUGAGUUGGGGUGGGCAUUCUAUGAUUUUCUAUGUUUUCUUUUUCUUUGUGUUUGGCCGGGUGUGGUUCUCAAUCAGAGGCAGCUGUCUAUCGUUGUCUCUGAUUGAGAACCAUACUUAGGUAUCCUUUUGUCACGUUCCUGACCUGGUUUCUGUUAGUUUUGUAUGUGUUAGUUGGUCAGGACGUGAGUUUGGGUGGGCAGUCUAUGUUUUCUGUUUCUAUGUUGGUUUUGGGUGACCUGAUAUGGCUCUCAAUUAGAGGCAGGUGUUUUUCAUUUCCUCUGAUUGAGAGUCAUAUUAAGGUAGGUGUGUUCACACUGUUUGUUUAUUUGGGUGAUUGUCUUCUGUGUCUGCGCACCACACGGGACUGUUUUCGGUUUGUUUUGUACAUCGUUCUUGUUGUGUAGUCUAUUUUCCCUGUUCGCGCGUUCUUCGUGUUAUUUGUACGUAUUGUUCAGGUCUGUCUACACAUUCGUUUUUGUUAUUUUGUAGUUUAUUCAAGUAUAGUUCGUGUCAUUGUUUCGUCGUGUCUAAUAAAUCAUUACGUAUUCAA